rnacentral:rRNA from 1 species
AGAUAAUAGAUACCCAGGUAGUCCACGCCCUAAACGAUGGCAACUAGGUGUGGGGGGUAUCGACCCCUCCCGUGCCGGCGUUUACAUAGUAAAGUUGCCCGCCUGGGGAGUACGGUCGCAAGGCUAAAACUCAAAGGAAUUGACGGGGACCCGCACAAGCAGCGGAGCGUGUGGUUUAAUUCGAUGCAACGCGCAGAACCUUACCAGGGCUUGACAUGGCAGUGCAAGACCGAGAGAUCGGUCCCUCCUUCGGGACGCUGUCACAGAUGCUGCAUGGCUGUCGUCAGCUCGUGCCGUGAGGUGUUGGGUUAAAUCCCGCAACGAGCGCAACCCCUGUCCCGUGUUGAUGUUCACGGGAGACAACCCCGAACAACGGGGAGGAAGGUGGGGAUGACGUCAAGUCAGCACGGCUCUUACGUCCUGGGCGACACACACGCUACAAUGGAGGGGUACAGAGGGCCGCGAACCCGCGAGGGGGUGCGAAUCUCACAAACCCAUCCGUAGUGCAGAUUGCAGGCUGCAACUCGCCUGC